AACAGGACUGCUGUAAGGGAGUGCUUUGCGCGCGGGCGUCAACCAGCU
rnacentral:ncRNA from 1 species